GAUGAACGCUGGCGGCGUGCCUAAUACAUGCAAGUCGAGCGAAUGGAUUAAGAGCUUGCUCUUAUGAAGUUAGCGGCGGACGGGUGAGUAACACGUGGGUAACCUGCCCAUAAGACUGGGAUAACUCCGGGAAACCGGGGCUAAUACCGGAUAACAUUUUGAACCGCAUGGUUCGAAAUUGAAAGGCGGCUUCGGCUGUCACUUAUGGAUGGACCCGCGUCGCAUUAGCUAGUUGGUGAGGUAACGGCUCACCAAGGCAACGAUGCGUAGCCGACCGGAGAGGGUGAGCGGCGACACGGGGACUGAGACACGGCCCAGACUCCUACGGGAGGCAGCAGUAGGGAAUCUUCCGCAAUGGACGAAAGUCUGACGGAGCAACGCCGCGUGAGUGAUGAAGGCUUUCGGGUCGUAAAACUCUGUUGUUAGAGAAGAACAAGUGCUAGUUGAAUAAGCUGACACCUUGACGGUACCUAACCAGAAAGCCACGGCUAACUACGUGCCAGCCGCCGCGGUAA
rnacentral:rRNA from 1 species